rnacentral:rRNA from 1 species
UAUCUCUGUAGAGUCUGCAUAUCAAUAAGCGGAGGAAAAGAAACUAACUAGGAUUCCCUCAGUAACGGCGAGUGAAGCGGGAAGAGCUCAAAUUUGAAAUCUUCAAGGUUCUACCUUGACGAAUUGUAGUUUAAAGAAGUGUUUUCUGUUGGAGUUUUGGUAAAAGUUCUUUGGAAUAGGACAUCAUAGAGGGUGAGAAUCCCGUAUUUGACCAUGACUUUCCAGCUGUGUGAUACACUUUCAAAGAGUCGGAUUGUUUGGGAAUGCAGUCCAAAAUGGGUGGUAAAUUUCAUCUAAAGCUAAAUAUUGGCGAGAGACCGAUAGCGAACAAGUACCGUGAGGGAAAGAUGAAAAGAACUUUGAAAAGAGAGUUAAACAGUACGUGAAAUUGUCAAAAGUGAAGCAUUUGACACCAGUGUUGUUUUCUCGAAAAUCAAUUUAAUGGGUUCUUGUUUUUAAGUUAUUGUGACUUUAUCAGCGCAUUUCUUAUUUUACUUGGCUCAUUGAAUGCACUUUUCGUUUAACAAGUCAACAUCAAUUUCUUUGGUGGUAAAAAGUUUAAAGGAAGGUGGCUUGGACUUCGGUUCAAGUGUUUAUAGCCUUUUUUCUAUGCCAUCGGAGAGAUUGAGGUCUGCAGCGUAGAUCCUUCGGGGUUGGAUACUUUAGUGCUAAGUUAUAGUUUUUUAUAGACAACUUGUUGUCUAUAAUUAACCCUGUAAUUUACUCGCUAGAGCUAUUUUACCUACGCUUAGGAUGUUGAGUCAUCACACAUCUCU